UGGGGAAUUUUUGGACAAUGGGCGCAAGCCUGAUCCAGCCAUGCCGCGUGCGGGAAGAAGGCCUUCGGGUUGUAAACCGCUUUUAGCCGGAAAGAAAAGGCGGGGGCUAAUACCCUCCGUUCUUGACGGUACCGGCGGAAUAAGCACCGGCUAACUACGUGCCAGCAGCCGCGGUAAUACGUAGGGUGCGAGCGUUAAUCGGAAUUACUGGGCGUAAAGCGUGCGCAGGCGGUUCGUUGUGUCUGAUGUGAAAUCCCCGGGCUCAACCCGGGAACUGCAUUGGAACUGGCGGACUGGAGUGUGGCAGAGGGGGGUGGAAUUCCGCGUGUAGCAGUGAAAUGCGUAGAGAUGCGGAGGAACACCGAUGGCGAAGGCAGCCCCCUGGGCCAACACUGACGCUCAGGCACGAAAGCGUGGGGAGCAAACAGGAUUAGAUACCCUGGUAGUCCACGCCCUAAACGAUGUCGACUGGGUGUCGGGAGAGA
rnacentral:rRNA from 1 species